UACGAAGGGUGCAAACGUUGCUCGGAAUUAUUGGGCGUAAAGCGCACGUAGGCGGCUUGGCAAGUCGGAUGUGAAAUCCCUCGGCUCAACCAAGGAAGUGCAUCCGAAACUGCUGAGCUUGAGUACUUAAGAGGAUCGCGGAAUCCCCGGUGUAGAGGUGAAAUUCGUAGAUAUCGGGAGGAACACCAGUGGCGAAGGCGGCGAUCUGGGAAGAUACUGACGCUGAGGUGCGAAAGCGUGGGGAGCAAACAGG
rnacentral:rRNA from 1 species